UUAAAUUGAAGAGUUUGAUCAUGGCUCAGAUUGAACGCUGGCGGCAGGCCUAACACAUGCAAGUCGAACGGUAACAGGAAGCAGCUUGCUGCUUUGCUGACGAGUGGCGGACGGGUGAGUAAUGUCUGGGAAACUGCC
rnacentral:rRNA from 20 species